GCCAAGCUUCUUCCUAGCAGCUGCUUCAGUGCUGUGUUUUGGAUUCAGUAUGAGAACAAUGUUGGUAACACACUGAUGUUUUAUUUGUGCCUCAGCAGUGCUUACCCUGAGUCAAGGACUUUCCAGUGUCUCCUGCUCUGCCAGUGAGGAGGGGCACAAGAAGCCAGGAGGGAGCACGGCCAGGACAGCUGACCUGAACUGGCCAAAGGGAUAUUCCACACUACAGAACAUCAUGCCCAGUGUAUAAACUGGAAGAAGUUGGCUGGGAGGGAUGGAUCACUGCUGUGGGACAGGCUGGAUAUCUUUCAGCAGGGGAUUUCCUUAUGUGCUGGAGAAAGCAGCAAGACCACAGCAUGAAUACCAGAAAAAUAUUUUUGCAAGCCACAGCGAGCCUUGGGUUGUUGAUACCACAGGACCCUCCAUCUCAGAGGAACUCUGAAAGAUCCAUCAAAAUUUGCUGUGGUACACCUUGCCAUUUUUGACUCAGGCUUCAUGGCAGAAGACUAUUAAGACAGAAAAAUUGAUAAGGAUCCUCCUGACAUUUCUGAAACAUGGAAGACAUGAAUGUGUGACAGGGGCAGACAGAGUUGCCUUGUGUUGAACCUGCAAUUAAUGGAAAACUCCAGUCUUUUCUGCAGAUUUGCUGAAAACCAAGUAUUCUCCAUUAGAUAUUCCUGUACAGGGAUACUUCUACCUGAGUGUGCUACCUUGAAUUUUUACUUCUUGAAACUGACCCUCUUUAUUUUCAGACUAUGCCUCUCAUUUGGGAAUAUUGUCACAAAUUUCUGGUCCUUUCUUUCAGCAUGUUAGCAGUUCCUCACAGGUUCAUAGGCGUCAUCCAAGUCAUCAGAGGGAGCACAGAACAGAGUUAUAGCACAAUUACAGCAUCUCUUUAGAGCGUGUAAUACUUGCUGGUAUUUUAAUCUGUAAGAAAAUCUAAAGCCAUGGCCACUAACAUUUACAGGUGGUACAAAAAGUCAUGUACGAAAUAAUGACAGGUCAAUGAUACAAAGAGGUCUGGAUAAUUUUGUAAAAUGGGUUCAUCUGACAAGUAUGAGUUUUAAUAUGUCAAAAUGCAAAUCACAAGCAUCUUUGGAAAUUAACAAUGUGGCUCACACCUGUGGGAUGAGGAAGUGUGUUUUUGAAAUGGGGACUCUCAAACUUAACCCACUGAAAAGGGACCUUGAAGAAAAACCACAGCAGGGCGUAACAACACUUGCCCAAGUAAGCAGUGAAUCACAAAACAGGAAAAAAUAUCCAAGGAAGGGACAUUUUAGAGUCAGAAUGUCUCCUACAUAAAUAUUUCCCAAGUUAAAAUUAAAUUGACAAUUUAUUUUUCUAGGACACCACCCAUGCACUUCUUUCAGAUACUUUCCCACCUGCUCAUCAUAUCAUAUAUGCAUAUCAGCACCUAAUGUCUGCACUAUCAGCAUGACUGCUUACUCAAUGAAAGGAGCAGUGACAUUUGUACUGCUGUCACACACAAGGACAGAAUUAAGGUUUGUGUAUUCAAGGCAUCAGACACAUGUUUAGAAGAGGGGACAAAAUGCUGCAGUCCCCAGAGGAGUCUACAAUAACCUAUUUCAAACUUUCAAAGUCUUAGCCUGUAUCACAGAAACUGCACAAACCUGUGAUUUCCAUUUCUGAAAGUUUUGAGCAAGCAAGUCUUAUGUAUUCCAACUUGUCAGUAUGUCUGAUCACAAAUAAUGCUUACGUUUAAAGGACUAGUAUGGCUUUACAGCUGAAGAGAUGAGGCUGAGAGCUCCAUUCUGAAAUCCUUAGUGCUGCACAGCUGAGCAGAGACCACUGAGAUGGAGUAAUUUCCCAGGGACAGUUAGAAACUAAAGAAUUGAAUAAAGUUCUUCAGUGCCUGAACCACUAACAGAACACAUUUUCUAAGGGUUCAUCAAACAGCAGAACUUUUUUUUUUAAUUUCCUGCUAACAACUUUCCACCAACAGGAAGAAGUACAGUGUCAGACCUCCAUAUAUCAGCAUUCUCAACCAAAAACUGAAAAUGCAGGUGGAGUCUGGUUUCUUCUACAGCAUCACAGAUAGGGAAUGUCAGAUCCUCAGAUCUGUAAAUUGAACACAGACUUUCCAAACUGGGUAGAGAGUGUCACCCAUCUCAUCCAGCCCAUUACUUCCAAGGAUGGCUGUCUCAGAUACUUUGGAGGCUGGUGUGAGACCCUUCCUGUACCAAGGGCAGGAUGAUGAAACGUUGUUCUUGAAAAACCUCUGGCUGUUUUGAAAAUAGCAUCAUAGAGAAGGCAAUCUAUCUAAAGCCUACAAGCAGAUUCAUCCCAGCAGACUUUAGAAUCCAGUGCCUAGAAUUCCUUGGAGAGCUUGAAAAAGUUUGGAGAAGACUUCUUUUUGCUCGUCUGUGAUACUGAGAGAGAACUACCAAACCAGUUUUUCUUAGCUGAGGUACAGCUCUGAAAUCUCCUUAAUUUUCCAUAUUUUUAAUGUCUAACUGCCUGAACUGGUCCCAUACAGCACCGUACAGAUUCAACCUCUUGUAAUGU